rnacentral:rRNA from 2 species
UUUGUAGAGGAUGAUUCGGCGAGGGCUCCCGCCUAAGUCCCCUGGAACGGGGCGUCAUAGAGGGUGAGAAUCCCGUAUGCGGUGGGCUGCCUUAGCCAUGUGAAUCUCCUUCGACGAGUCGAGUUGUUUGGGAAUGCAGCUCUAAAUGGGAGGUAAAUUUCUUCUAAAGCUAAAUACCGGCCAGAGACCGAUAGCGCACAAGUAGAGUGAUCGAAAGAUGAAAAGCACUUUGGAAAGAGAGUUAAAAAGUACGUGAAAUUGUUGAAAGGGAAGCGCUUGCAACCAGACUUGUCCGCAGUUGCUCAGCCGGUCUCCUGACCGGCGUACUCUUCUGCGGCCAGGCCAGCAUCAGUUCGGGCGGUCGGAUAAAGACCUCGGGAAUGUGGCUCCCUUCGGGGAGUGUUAUAGCCCGGGGUGGAAUGCGGCCAGCCUGGACUGAGGAACUCGCUUCGGCUAGGAUGCUGGCGUAAUGGUUGUAAGCGGCCCGUCUUGAAACACGGACCAAGGAGUCUAACAUCUAUGCGAGUGUUUGGGUGUCAAACCCAUACGCGAAAUGAAAGUGAACGGAGGUGGGAACCCUCACGGGUGCACCAUCGGCCGAUCCUGAUGUCUUCGGAUGGAUUUGAGCAAGAGCAUAGCUGUUGGGACCCGAAAGAUGGUGAACUAUACCUGAAUAGGGUGAAGCCAGAGGAAACUCUGGUGGAGGCUCGCAGCUGGUUCUGACGUGCAAA